UACGGAGGGGGCAAGCGUUGUUCGGAAUUACUGGGCGUAAAGGGCUCGUAGGCGGCCAAUUAAGUCAGACGUGAAAUCCCUCGGCUUAACCGGGGAACUGCGUCUGAUACUGGAUGGCUUGAGUUCGGGAGAGGGAUGCGGAAUUCCAGGUGUAGCGGUGAAAUGCGUAGAUAUCUGGAGGAACACCGGUGGCGAAGGCGGCAUCCUGGGCCGACACUGACACUGAGGAGCGAAAGCCAGGGGAGCAAACGGG
rnacentral:rRNA from 1 species